ensembl:snRNA U6 U6 spliceosomal RNA
GUGCUCACUUUGGCAGCACAUAUACUAAAAUUGGUCCAAUACAGAGAAGAUUAGCAUGGUCCCUGCCCAAGGAUGGUGUGAAAAUUCAUGAAGCAUUCCAUAUUUUU